GCUACAUUCCUGAUGGUGUCGUCGAUCAGUGGUAGAUCGUCUAGCUGUCGCGACGAUUUCCGUUGGAGGCGACCCAAGGCAUGAUGACCCUCGUGGAAGGCCAGCCAAGGCAGGGUGACGGCAAUGGUCAUCAGAUGAGGCAGGCGACGGCUGCAUUACCAUGGCCCGAGGACUCAAACGGCUGUCGGGCGGGUUGCUUCCACCGCCACAACCUCACAUGCCACCUCGAGCAAGAGGCGGCUUCAAAGCAAAGGCCUCGGUUAGGCCUCACCCCGGACACAGCCUAAAGAUGCUCCAACAGGCGGCUACGAGCAGGCUACAGCCAGGCCUGCUCCAAAUGGCGUCACGCCAGGCGCCACUCUGCGUCUGCACCGACAGGCAGGCGCGUUGUCCUCAGGGCUGCCUCAGGUACCACGGCAGGAGCUCCCGAAACAGUGCACUGGUCUUGCGUCUUCUAAGUUGCUAGCCCCCUCUGCCCAUUUGGCACCCACCUCUCUUCUUCCUUCUCUAUUGUUUCUUUUCUGAGCACUGCCAAGCACGCAAUCUGCGCCUGGCUCGCCUUCUGUUUCUUCUUCCUUCAUUCACAGUCCUCAAGAGUUUUCAAGCAGUCCACACACAUAAACAACACUCAUAAGGUCCUUGCACUGCACCUGGUGCUUGGCCAUUAUGGGACCUCAGCGCUUCGAAAGGGAAUUUGGGGCACCACAUGGGAAAUUGCCACUAUUGGGAAUGGCCCAGACCUACUUCUUUUUGUGCUCAUGAGGGUUUUGACUGGUAUUUAGAGCACAGGCUCCUCUCCCUGAAGAAAGCCGAACGCCAUGCUGGGGUACACUUGUGUCCAUUUGAAUCAGUGGGCGCCGUGCGGUGGUAGAAAUUGAACCUACGACUUCCUGCGGCCGAGGAGGGCAAUCCACAACAAGGGCAAUCAAACAAAUGCACCCUACAUGUGAAGUAGCGGGAGCCAUUUUGACAAGACAAACUGAGCUGAUGCACUCACCAAAGUAGCAGGGCAAAAAAUUCUCUUGGGAAAGUUUCACCCACUGGAGACAGGCAGGUAAUUGUGUUGUGACCCUAUGUGAAUGAGUAGGCCAAUAGUAAAAGGUCGCUUGAAAGCUCGGCUAUAUGUUUGCCUCAGGCGCUGCCAGACACAGCGCAACGAAAUUAGAAGCCUGAAGUACCUUUCUACUGCUUGGUAAGUUUGCCCAUCAGUAAAUGGCUUCGUGCAAGCAGUCCCUGUUCUGGCCUCUUGCUUCAGCUCAUACAUCCCCCCAGACAACUUGCUGAAGUAGGCUCAAUCACAAAAACUUGGAUACAUCACAGGAUGCAUUCAUGCUGUAGUUAUGCUAAUGUCACAUGGCGCUCAAGUUUGAAGCUGGCCACCCACAUUCCCUCUAAUGUAUUAUUGAAAUCCAUUCUAUUGUCGAUUUGCCAUUAAUAUUUGGUCAGAGGUACCAAUGUAUUUAAACAAAUUUAACAUUAUCAUGACUUCAGCUGUGAAAACUUUUCAGUAUAUGUGAAAACUUCCUUGUGGUUACAGCAUUUAUAAAAUAUUGUGGACAGGUACAUGAAUAUUUAGCUCAUGUAUGAUGCCCAUGUGCUACAUAAACACUUUAUGAAAGCAUCUAGGGCUGGGAUAGUGUAAUUAUUCUAUUGGAAUUGCUUGUGCGUUGUAAGGGUAGCAUUCUGCCUACAUGAUCAUGAUUGGCUGGCUAUGUGCAGUGAAUGAAAAUUUCAAUAUAGAAAUGAAGGGAAAGGAAUCGCUACAGUAUACCAGUCCUGCUGAUACUUUGCAGCAUACUUCUUGUGGAACGAGCAUAUGCACUAGGUAUUUUUUAUGCAUUUGUUUAUUCCUAUUUUAAACACUUAAGAAAAUGACACAAAGUGGAAGGCUAUGUUAUAUGCAGGGUAAAAUCUUAAGUUAAUUUCCACAGCCACCUAGUUCAGCCUAAUCUACGGCACACUAAGAUUGUGUCGAAAAGCCAGCUACCAAAGAAUCAAACAAAGGUGUAACUUACAAGAAUGGACAAGUCUUAUUUUCGAAACUUGAAAACAUACAUUUCAAAUAAGAAUUUAAGCUUAAGAAAUCUGCACUUCUGGCUGGCCCUCCAGUUUCUUAAACUUCAGUAGUGUCGUCCCAUAGUAGGUGGUCCUCAGUGGUGUCAGUUGAGCUUCAGAUGCCAGUUCUCUUGAAGCUUUUGAUGACAGUGUCAUCAGAAAUCAUGUUCUGUGCCUCUAGGACCAAUGGACACAACAGUUCCACUGGCAGCCUUCUAAACUUGCCUCCCGGUGCCAGGGAAUGAUCACAAAUACUGAAAGUCUGUGAUUCUUUGUAUGUAGAAGGCAGCUGCUGACAUGUUCUCAUGAAGCCCAUGCCGCCACAUGAAGCACAUCAUCCAGUUGCUGCUUGCGUUGAAGUUUGUAGUUGGAAUGCCCUGCUUCCUUCUGUUUUCACAACGCGGACGACACCGUGUCAAAGGAAGUUAUGGAAAAGAGACUGAAAGCAGUGCACUGGUACCCCUUGCAGCAAUUGGAUGUUAUAAAUGUGAUUUCCACAUCACACACAUACCAUGACCUGAAGUUUUGGAUGGAAUGGUGAGCAUAUUUAUGCAGUGAGCCAUCUUAAGUGCCGACUGGCAUACUCUAGUGUUCAAGGGCACUGAAUAUAUUCUAAUUAAGACUGCAAGACUGUAAUACAAUCACAGUCAGAAUUCAUCAAUUCAAUAAACAAUACACAUUUGAACAGUGGUCUCCGGUACAAUGGCAUACCGACAAACAGUAGAAUAGGUAGUAGACAGGUAGUAGACUUGUAGGCUUGUAGACCUGUAAACUUGUAUGCCGAUUGGCUAGUAGACCAUCAAGGUCUGAAAUUAGGGUUAGCCAACAGACAUGUAAGCUGAUAGCUGGUUGGAAUUUUUUACUGGAGAUAUUCAUAUAAAAUUCCAGACCCGCCGUAGUGGCUAAGGCGUACGUACGUUGCUCUACUGAACUGAAAGCUCAGGAUUGAAUCCCGGGCGCGGUGGCAUUUAGAUGGAAGUGAAAUGCACUAGAUGCCUGUGUGCCAUAUGCAUUGGGUGCACAUUAAAAACCACAGGGAGUUAAAAUAAUUCGGAAUGCCUCGAUCACCAGCGUGUGCCUCAUCAUAAAGUUGUGGUUUUGGCAUGUAAAAACCCAGAUUUUAAUUUAUUGAAUUUCCAAAUAUGACCAUAUACAGGAUGUUUCAGCGAACUCUUUCAAAAAUUCUUAAAGGUUGCUUGUGGC